rnacentral:rRNA from 1 species
CAGUCGCCGCGGUAAUACGUAGGUCCCGAGCGUUGUCCGGAUUUAUUGGGCGUAAAGGGAGCGCAGGCGGUUUAGUAAGUCUGAAGUUAAAGGCAUUGGCUCAACCAAUGUAUGCUUUGGAAACUGUUAGACUUGAGUGCAGAAGGGGAGAGUGGAAUUCCAUGUGUAGCGGUGAAGUGCGUAGAUAUAUGGAGGAACACCGGUGGCGAAAGCGGCUCUCUGGUCUGUCACUGACGCUGAGGCUCGAAAGCGUGGGUAGCGAACAGGAUUAGAUACCCGAGUAGUCCCUGUCUCUUAUACA